rnacentral:rRNA from 1 species
GAUGAACGCUGACAGAAUGCUUAACACGUGCAAGUCAACUUGAACUUCGGUUUGGGUGGCGGACGGGUGAGUAACGCGUAAAGAACUUGCCUCACAGAUAGGGACAACAUUUGGAAACGAAUGCUAAUACCUGAUAUUAUGAUUUUAGGGCAUCCUAGGAUUAUGAAAGCUAUAUGCGCUGUGAGAGAGCUUUGCGUCCCAUUAGCUAGUUGGAGAGGUAACGGCUCACCAAGGCGAUGAUGGGUAGCCGGCCUGAGAGGGUGAUCGGCCACAAGGGGACUGAGACACGGCCCUUACUCCUACGGGAGGCAGCAGUGGGGAAUAUUGGACAAUGGACCAAGAGUCUGAUCCAGCAAUUCUGUGUGCACGAUGAAGUUUUUCGGAAUGUAAAGUGCUUUCAGUUGGGAAGAAAAAAAUGACGGUACCAACAGAAGAAGUGACGGCUAAAUACGU